rnacentral:lncRNA from 1 species
GACCUCCCAGACCUGCCUUUCUCGAAUGUGGCGGAUGUUCUUGCGUAUGGAGAGAAGCUCGAGACAGACAGCAAAGCUCAUGAUCAAAUGAAAAAGCACAUGGCUGUACAAGGGGGAGAUUCGACGAAACUGAAAACAACACGUGUACUGCAGUCCCUCCUCAGCUGGAAUGCUGCAGUGGGCUUCAGUUGGUUUGGCACAAAGGGAAAGAAAAUUCUGUGAACUGCACCUCUGCAAGCUGAUGUGCGGCGUGUUGACUAAUGACAUCCGAAACCCGAAUGCGACCCUGAAGGAUGUGGAGAAGGCCGCGAUGACCUGGUUCCGUCAUGCUGCUGAGCGGCUUGCCGCGCAACAAAAAUAGUUUAU